UUAAGUUAUUAAGGGCGCACGGUGGAUGCCUUGGCACUAGAAGCCGAUGAAGGACGUUACUAACGACGAUAUGCUUUGGGGAGCUGUAAGUAAGCUUUGAUCCAGAGAUUUCCGAAUGGGGAAACCCAGCAUGAGUUAUGUCAUGUUAUCGAUAUGUGAAUACAUAGCAUAUCAGAAGGCACACCCGGAGAACUGAAACAUCUUAGUACCCGGAGGAAGAGAAAGAAAAUUCGAUUCCCUUAGUAGCGGCGAGCGAAACGGGAAGAGCCCAAACCAACAAGCUUGCUUGUUGGGGUUGUAGGACACUCUAUACGGAGUUACAAAGGACGACAUUAGACGAAUCAUCUGGAAAGAUGAAUCAAAGAAGGUAAUAAUCCUGUAGUCGAAAAUGUUGUCUCUCUUGAGUGGAUCCUGAGUACGACGGAGCACGUGAAAUUCCGUCGGAAUCUGGGAGGACCAUCUCCUAAGGCUAAAUACUCUCUAGUGACCGAUAGUGAACCAGUACCGUGAGGGAAAGGUGAAAAGCACCCCGGAAGGGGAGUGAAAUAGAACCUGAAACCGUGUGCUUACAAGUAGUCAGAGCCCGUUAAUGGGUGAUGGCGUGCCUUUUGUAGAAUGAACCGGCGAGUUACGAUUUGAUGCAAGGUUAAGCAGUAAAUGUGGAGCCGUAGCGAAAGCGAGUCUGAAUAGGGCGUUUAGUAUUUGGUCGUAGACCCGAAACCAGGUGAUCUACCCUUGGUCAGGUUGAAGUUCAGGUAACACUGAAUGGAGGACCGAACCGACUUACGUUGAAAAGUGAGCGGAUGAACUGAGGGUAGCGGAGAAAUUCCAAUCGAACCUGGAGAUAGCUGGUUCUCUCCGAAAUAGCUUUAGGGCUAGCCUCAAGUGAUGAUUAUUGGAGGUAGAGCACUGUUUGGACGAGGGGCCCCUCUCGGGUUACCGAAUUCAGACAAACUCCGAAUGCCAAUUAAUUUAACUUGGGAGUCAGAACAUGGGUGAUAAGGUCCGUGUUCGAAAGGGAAACAGCCCAGACCACCAGCUAAGGUCCCAAAAUAUAUGUUAAGUGGAAAAGGAUGUGGCGUUGCCCAGACAACUAGGAUGUUGGCUUAGAAGCAGCCAUCAUUUAAAGAGUGCGUAAUAGCUCACUAGUCGAGUGACACUGCGCCGAAAAUGUACCGGGGCUAAACAUAUUACCGAAGCUGUGGAUUGUCCUUUGGACAAUGGUAGGAGAGCGUUCUAAGGGCGUUGAAGCAUGAUCGUAAGGACAUGUGGAGCGCUUAGAAGUGAGAAUGCCGGUGUGAGUAGCGAAAGACGGGUGAGAAUCCCGUCCACCGAUUGACUAAGGUUUCCAGAGGAAGGCUCGUCCGCUCUGGGUUAGUCGGGUCCUAAGCUGAGGCCGACAGGCGUAGGCGAUGGAUAACAGGUUGAUAUUCCUGUACCACCUAUAAUCGUUUUAAUCGAUGGGGGGACGCAGUAGGAUAGGCGAAGCGUGCGAUUGGAUUGCACGUCUAAGCAGUAAGGCUGAGUAUUAGGCAAAUCCGGUACUCGUUAAGGCUGAGCUGUGAUGGGGAGAAGACAUUGUGUCUUCGAGUAGUUGAU
rnacentral:rRNA from 1 species